AUGGAGGGGUGGGACAAGGGCACGAAGAGCGUGGUGGGCGAGAUCCCGCUGCUGUCGACGCGGGCGGGCCCCCGGGACGGCGAUCCGUGGCGGCAGCGGCUCAAGGAGGAGUACCGCGCCCUCAUCGCCUACACCUCCGUCAACAAGGCCAAGGACAAUGACUGGUUCCGCAUCUCCGCCGCCAACCCGGAGGGCACCCGCUGGGAGGGUACCUGCUGGUACGUCCACAACCUCCGCCGCUACGAGUUCCCCCUCCAGUUCGACAUCCCCGUCGCCUACCCCCAGGUCGCCCCCGAGAUCGAGCUCCCCACCCUCGACGGCAAGACCCACAAGAUGUACCGCGGAGGGAAGAUCUGCCUCACCGUGCACUUCAAGCCGCUCUGGGCCAAGAACUGCCCGCGGUUCGGGCUCGCGCACGCUCUCUGCCUCGGGCUCGCGCCGUGGCUCGCUGCGGAGGUGCCCAUCCUGGUCGAUUCGGGCAUGGUGAAGCACAAGGACGACGAGGCUGCUCCUGCAGAUGCCGCUGCUGCGUCUGGCUCUGCCGCUGCCUCUUAG
rnacentral:rRNA from 1 species